rnacentral:lncRNA from 1 species
AUAAAGAUGAUGUACAAAAAGUCAUUCAGACAGUGAAAAGGGCCCUCAAAGUCUACGGCACACCUGCAUUUGCUGAGAUGAUACAGAACUGCAUGACUCAAGACCUCUCCUGGAAGGUAAGCCAUAAUACAAUGAAGUGUUCCAUUUCGUUGUGCAUUGUUGUAUGGAAGUUCGGAAGAAUGCAGUGCAAAAUUUCAUUUUCUUCAGUAUCGUCCGCAUGCAUAUACUGCAAGACUCAUGUUUCUUCACACUAACCUAAUGCUCCAGGGACCUGCUAAGAAGUGGGAGCAAUUUCUCCUAAGCUUAGGAGCUGCUGGUAGUGAAGCCGGCAUCGAUGCUGAUGAAAUAGCUCCUCUUGCAAAGGAAAAUGUGGCCACUCCCUGAAAGCGACUACUGUCUAUGUUAUAGUGUUUGAGUUUGAUCCUCCUGAAUAAAUUGCUAUUAUGCUCCAAGUUUAGUGCUGUCAGUGACUGUUUUCUCUCUAGCGAGGAAUAAAUAUUGUAAAUGAAGUACUUGUACAUAGUUUUGUGCUGCUACUUGAGAGAAAGUAUGACAUUUCACUCUAAACGAUUGCUUAUGUGAGAGGAGGUCCAAUUUACUGCUUUGAACUCUCUCUGGUGCUGUUUGUUUCCAUGUCAUGUGAUACAAUGCAUUAUGAUCUAAGGUUUUAAUUCUUGAAUGACUAAACUUGUGAUAA